rnacentral:rRNA from 1 species
GACGAGGGGUCCAAGCGUUGUUCGGAAUCAUUGGGCGUAAAGCGGAUGUAGGUGGCUCUAUAAGUCAGGAGUGAAAGCCCUAAGCUUAACUUAGGAAGUGCUUUUGAUACUGCAGGGCUUGAAUGUGGGAGAGGAUCGUAGAAUUCCUGGUGUAGUGGUGAAAUACGUAGAUAUCAGGAGGAAUACCGGAGGCGAAGGCGGCGAUCUGGCCCAACAUUGACACUGAGAUCCGAAAGCGUGGGGAUCAAACAGG